ACAGUUUUUUUGCUGGAGAGUAAAGGCAUGUAGACUGUGGUUCUUAAUAUGUAAAGCGGUGGACAGUGGAGACCGCCCACACCACUCAGCUUUACUGCUUGGACAAAAAACAGAGAUAAAAGGCUGUAAAG